UGCAAGUCGAGCGGACAGAUGGGAGCUUGCUCCCUGAUGUUAGCGGCGGACGGGUGAGUAACACGUGGGUAACCUGCCUGUAAGACUGGGAUAACUCCGGGAAACCGGGGCUAAUACCGGAUGGUUGUUUGAACCGCAUGGUUCAAACAUAAAAGGUGGCUUCGGCUACCACUUACAGAUGGACCCGCGGCGCAUUAGCUAGUUGGUGAGGUAACGGCUCACCAAGGCAACGAUGCGUAGCCGACCUGAGAGGGUGAUCGGCCACACUGGGACUGAGACACGGCCCAGACUCCUACGGGAGGCAGCAGUAGGGAAUCUUCCGCAAUGGACGAAAGUCUGACGGAGCAACGCCGCGUGAGUGAUGAAGGUUUUCGGAUCGUAAAGCUCUGUUGUUAGGGAAGAACAAGUACCGUUCGAAUAGGGCGGUACCUUGACGGUACCUAACCGGAAAGCCACGGCUAACUACGUGCCAGCAGCCGCGGUAAUACGUAGGUGGCAAGCGUUGUCCGGAAUUAUUUGGGCGUAAAGGGCUCGCAGGCGGUUUCUUAAGUCUGAUGUGAAAGCCCCCGGCUCAACCGGGGAGGGUCAUUG
rnacentral:rRNA from 1 species